rnacentral:rRNA from 1 species
AGCAGCCGCGGUAAUUCCAGCUCCAAUAGCGUAUAUUAAAGUUGUUGCAGUUAAAAAGCUCGUAGUUGAAUUUCGGGAUUAGUACGUUGGUCGUGCCUUAGGUACGUACUGGUGUUACUGGUUCCUACCUUCUGACGAACCAUCAUGUCAUUAAUUUGGUGUGGCGGGGAAUCAGGACUGUUACUUUGAAAAAAUUAGAGUGUUUAAAGCAGGCUCGCGCUUGAAUACAUUAGCAUGGAAUAAUGAAAUAGGACGUUGACCCUAUUUUGUUGGUUUCUAGGGUUGACGUAAUGAUUAAUAGGGAUAGUUGGGGGCAUUAGUAUUCAAUUGUCAGAGGUGAAAUUCUUGGAUUUAUUGAAGACUAACUACUGCGAAAGCAUUUGCCAAGGAUGUUUUCAUUAAUCAAGAACGAAAGUUAGGGGAUCGAAGACGAUCAGAUACCGUCGUAGUCUUAACCAUAAACUAUGCCGACUAGGGAUCGGAUGAUGUUAUUUUUAAUGACUCA